rnacentral:ncRNA from 12 species
UGUUUUUGAGGUCGGAAAUGGUUCCCGACACACUCUAUGUAUGUAGAGUACCUGAGAUGAUGGAUACACCGCCCAUCCAAAAAUA